AUUGAACGCUGGCGGCAGGCCUAACACAUGCAAGUCGAGCGAGCGGCGGACGGGUGAGUAAUGCCUAGGAAUCUGCCUGGUAGUGGGGGAUAACGUUCGGAAACGGACGCUAAUACCGCAUACUAUCGGAUGAACCCAUAUGGGAUUAGCUAGUAGGUGGGGUAAAGGCUCACCUAGGCGACGAUCUCUAGCUGGUCUGAGAGGAUGAUCAGCCACACUGGGACUGAGACACGGCCCAGACUCCUACGGGAGGCAGCAGUGGGGAAUAUUGCACAAUGGGCGCAAGCCUGAUGCAGCCAUGCCGCGUGUAUGAAGAAGGCCUUAGGGUUGUAAAGUACUUUCAGCGGGGAGGCGUUACCCGCAGAAGAAGCACCGGCUAACUCCGUGCCAGCAGCCGCGGUAAUUC
rnacentral:rRNA from 1 species